CAGUCUCUUUCAGCCUGAGCCCGAGACACUGGCACAGUUUUACUUCCACUAUGCUUUAUUGGUCAAAGCAGUCUCUGAGCCCACCCAGAUUCUGGGAAAGAAGGACAUUGACACCACCUCUUGAUGAGAUAAUGUCAAAGAAUUUUGACCAUCUUUAAAGCACCACAACGCAUGUUGGAUAUUCUAUAUUCCUGAGUGAAAGAAGACUUCAAUUUGGUCACAUGAACAAACUAUUUCUGUGUUUUACAAGGGCAAUAGUAGGGAAAGGAGGUGGUAGUAAUAUCAGAAUUUCCAUCAACUCUUCUGUCUUCGUUGCUGUUUAUCAAGUAAUGUUCUUCAAACAAACUGGAGUUGCUAUGCCUUGAUAUGGUAUAAAUGAGUGUGUUUUGGAUACAAAUACACAUGGUAAAGGUAAUAUGACAGAGUCUCUGCUUGCUCUGUCACCCAGUUUGGAGGGCAGUGGCACGAUCGUGGAUAACUGCAGCCUCGACCUCCCAAGCUGAAGCAGUCCUACCACCUCAGCCUGCCAAGUAACUGGGAUUACAGGUGCACACCCCCAUUCCUGGCUUUCUUUGUUUUUUCUGGUAUAGAUGAGGUGUUGCUGUGUUCCCCAGAUGGUCUCAAACUCCUAGGCACAAGUGAUCUUCCCGCCUUAGCCUCCCAAAUUGUUGGGAUUACAGAUGUGAGCUGCUACGCCAGGCCUAGAGCAUAAAUUCUCAGAUUACUUGAAUGUGUUUCAUGGGUAAACCUGCUUUUAGACUUCAAUAAUACUACUUACCAGAAUAAUGUUCCAGAGGCAAUUUAGUAUAUGUUGGUCAUCAGUGUUUAGGAAUUGGGUAACCAAACCAGCAAGCUUAAAGUAACGGACAAGGAGUGCAGAGCAAUGGUUAUGAGCACACAUUCUGCUUUGGGGAAUUUGCGCAACGUGACCUUGGGCAAUUUACCUAGCCUCUCUCUGCCUCAAGUUCCUCACCUGUAAAAGGAGGAUAACAGAACUACCUCUUAAGAUUGCUGUGAGGAUUCAUGAGGUAAUAAUAUAUGUAUCACACGAUAUUGUGAACAUUAAUCCUGGCACAUAGUAAACACUCAGACAUCAACGUGAAUACUCUGCCCAGUUUUUAAGUUGGUGUAGACUCCAGAUGAACCAUAAAACUGGUGGAAGUUUUAAAAUAAUGCCCAUUUCUAGAGGUGGAAAAAAAUAGCAAGAUCAAAGAGCCCUGGCCUCUAUGAAGGGAUUGUGAAAGAGGAGAGAGAUAAUUAAGCAUUUGGUUUGUACCAAGGAGGAAACACGUUUAAUUUAUAGCAGGAAAGGCUUAGUUUCAAGUUGGUAGACUUCCUGGCACAUUGCGCUGUAAGAUACUAUUGAGCUGAAAAUUGCAAAGAAAGGAGAACUUACUCAAUGUCAGUCAAGAUGGCAUUAGUAAACUUGGAAGCUUCCCUGCAUCUUUUUUGGAUAUGAAGUAUAAUGAUUUGACAUAAAUAUACUACUGCCUAAAACAAAAGAGCUGGAUUCUACCACUAUUAGAGUCACUUAACAGGGAGAAUCACUUCACCCUGGGUCUCCUGAUAGCAAUUCAGUAACUAAGUUCCCUUGGUUGAGUUCCAAGACCAGUAAUUCUUAUAAGGAGGUUCACUCUAGAGCAAAUAGUGUUUAUGGUGAUGUUUAAGCCUUACCCACAUUCAAUUUGAAUUACAAUGGAAAGUAAAAGUAUUUGACAUCUAAUAAUCCAUUUACAUUUGUUAGUGAUCUCAAUUUAAAUCACCGUGCCUAUGGCCUGACAGAUGAGUUACUAGAUUUUGAUUUUCCUGAGGUUUAUAAUGUUUUAAAACUCAUUAACAUUUUAAAUAUUUACUAUCUCAUUUUAUUACAUAAAGCAGCACACAAACAAACUGAAAAUUAUUUCUAAACCAAAUUUAAUCCAGAACAGUUAUUAAAACAAUAUAUGUUAAAAAAUGACAUUUUAAAAAGCAAAUGUGAAGAAGAUACAGAGAAAUACUGGAGUAUCCAUUGUCAGAAUGAUUUAAUUUCAGUUCAAAGGGAUUUGAAGAUCAGUUAAUUUGUCCAUCCUUCGUCAUGUUAUACACAGGCUGCCUCUUUGCAUGUUCCUUGAAGUUGUGCAGGACAGAGCCUGUGUGGCCUCGCCCAGUGCCCUGGUGAUAGAUGGGAAAAUGGACUUAAAUGCACUUGCCCCAGGCUUCUUAAAAUGUUUGAUUUCUUGUUGACUUCUUGGGUGCUUUCCAAACUCCACAGUGUUGAAAUAAAAGUUGACCUGCUAAAUCUAAAUUCACAUUCUAUACCAGGACAUGUUGUCUGGUUAAAAUGAGAACCUUGGAGGAUAUUAUAUUAAGUGAAAUAAUCCAGGCAUAGAGAGACAAAUACUGCAUGUUCUCACUCAUUUAUGGAAGGCAAAAAAGUUGACCUCAUGGAAGUAGAGAGUAGAAUAGUGGCUCCUAGAGGCUGGGAAAGUUGUGUGUGUUAGGGGUGGGGUGGUAGGGAGCUAGCCAGAGGUUGAUUAGCAAAUACUAAGUUACUGCUAGAUAGGAGGAAUAAAUCUUAGUGUUCUAUGGCACUAUAGAAUGACUAUAACUAACAAAAAUUUACUUUCAAUUUUUGUGAAUAAUUUAUAUUCAAAACCUACAAGAGUGGAUUUUGAAUGCUCCCAACACAAAGAAAUAAAGUUUUGAGGUGAUGAAUUUGCUAUUUACCCUGAUUCGAUCCCUACACAGUGUGUAGGUGUGUCAAAAUAUCACAUGGUACCCCAUAAGUAUGUACAAUUAUUAUGUCAAUUAAAAAUAAAAGGAAAUAAUCACUAGUGAAGACAAAACUGAUUUAAAUCUUAAAAACUUUAUGCUCUCCAAAUAUCUAAAUGCUUUCAAAACAGAAUUUCAAAAUGCAUCCAGAGGAAGGACAUAGAAUAGAGUAGAAAAAAUAGUGCAUAGCUGUUUGGAUAGCAAUAGCAGUAAACCUGUUUUUUUAAAAAAUGAACAGUUCCCUUGAGGUAGAAAGUAGGUAGGAGCACGUGGAAGAAGCUCAGGCCUGGAGCCAUUUGGUGGCAUCAACCUCUGGUGAUUUGAGAGCUGCUCUGCCACCUGCGGUGCUCUCAGCAGUUCCUGUCUCAUUGUCUUAAUUUUAUGGGAUCCUGGUUUAGGUAACCUCACAGAAGCAACGAUUCUUUGAGGAAUCUAUAAAAUGUAACUUAGAGAAGUCAUUGAGCGAUAGCUGAAGGAGACACUGGGGAAAAUUGAGAAUGUGAGCAACAGCAAGCAGAGGUAGCACUAAGAUAUUUAUUUUUGCAUUUGCGGAAAUGCAUCUAACUUAUAUGUUAUGUAACUUGUAUCCUUUGGACUUCAAAAUGCAUUGAAAUAUAUGCAAAUAGAAACUUUUAACCUCUUUUUCUUUUCUGUCCUGGUGAAUUAUUUGUACCAUGGUCAUUGUGAUACAAUUUCUGACAUUUAUCCACCAUGAAGGGCAAGAAAUAUCAUAUACUUCUUUGGCAUUCCUUACAUGUACAGCAUUAUGAUGGGGGUAGGACAGAGUUUUAUUACAUUUGUCUCAUAUUAUUAAGGUAAAGGAAAGGGAGAGAUGAAUCCCUAGUUUUCUAGGUUCCUGUUUAUUGUCCCAAAUAUACCAUGUAUGUGUUUUUUCAUUUGUCAAAGCUUAUCAAUUGAGUGUGAAACUCUAUUUUCAUUCAUAGUCCACAAAGACUUACUCUAAAUUGCAACCUAUUGCAGUGGAAAACAAACAAAGAAAAACAAAAACAGGCUGGCUGGCACUGAAAGUGCUGGCAGGCUGAAGCAGUAAUCUGUUGGUAAUUUUAUAAGAUUUCUUUGCUGAUUACUAUUUGGGCAGUGUCCACAUCACUGAUGAGUUCACACACUCACAGCUGUUCUAGGAGCAAGACAACAUCUCCAAAAACAGACAAGGAUUAUUCUGACCAUUUAAAAAGCUGGUUCCUGCUAAUAGUAUUGUUGAUGAUCUUCUACGAGAAUUUCAAUUAAAUGAAAAUCAAAUGCCAGCUCUCAGAGGCCAUAUGGUGUCAUGAAGGAAAAGCCGCACACCCAUAGUCAAGGAGCCCUGGUUCCUGCCCUGGCAUUGCCAACAACUAACUGAGAAAGACAGUGAUCAGCUCAUGCAUGCACAGACCUAGGCAAAGAUCUUUAGAAUCAGAGAGAAAGGACCUGCUGCUGUGGUAACCCAAAGAAACUGAGGAAAAGCUUAUAUUAGACUGAGAAGAAGAACAGACACAUCUGAGAGGACAGAAAGGAAGGAUUGGGCUCGAAGAGAAAACUGCAGAGAACACCUCCAAGUGCGGAAACAAUAACUCAUUAGUGCCUAUAGAAUGCCAAGCACUUUUUAAAAAUAACUCAUUAAUAUUUUUAUUGGAACAUGUAAUGAAUCGAUCACCAUCCUUUCAAAUUUCAUGCAUUGACAUCACUCAGCAGUUGCCGCAUUGCAAUGCCAAAGGGCCAAGCACUUUCAUCUAGUAUUUCUAAUAGAUAAAACAAACUUCCACCAGAAUGUGUAAUUGCGGUUGUUGAGGAAACUGAGAUUCAGAGAGGUUGAAUUCUUGGAGACACACAGCUGCUGCAUGGCACCCCUCCUCUUACUGGAGAUUUGGGCAAAGCUUUCAGAUGAUUCAAGCUCUCCUGAGUGAAGGGAGCCUAUCGACUAUGAAGAUUCUCAUUCUGUGUAGUCUGAAAUGUUCUCACUUGACGGUAAAAUGCUUCCUAUUCUUUACAUAGCUUGCACUGAGAAGAGAGCUACCAAAAAGAAGGAAGGAAGAGAGGAAGAAGAGGAGGAAUCUGAGAGAAGAAAGUAAAGAAGAAAGGAAAAGGUAGAAAGAAAAUAAACUAAAAGGUACAGGGGCCUGUUUUCUCCAGAUGUAAUAACUGCUUCAAAGGAAGCUUCAGACCAGGAGCAAGUAACUUUGCCAAGUCAAGGAACUGCAAAAUGGACACUCCACACUACAGAAAGCAUUUAUUUUGAAGAAUUAGAUCUAUUUUCUUCAUUUGCCUGGUAAAUUCAGGCUAGUUUUCACCAUAAUAUUAUUAUAACUUUUAUACAAGAUCUGCUAUAAAAUUUUAUGUAAACUAAGUGUUUAAUAAUAGGGACCCACAGAACAAUUCUAGGAUGUUAAAUUCUUUUCAGAGAGGAAAGCUAAGCGUGGCCAUUGUACAUGUGUGUUUAAUGAUCUUCUGUGCUUGCUAUUAUAAUUAUAUCACAGUCAUUAGUUUACUCACAAAGACUUGCAAAUACGAUAUAUGAAUAUAGAAUAUAUUACUAUUAUAAUAAUUUUUUCUUGAGACAAAGUACUGCUUUGU